UGUCGUCAGCUCGUGUCGUGAGAUGUUGGGUUAAGUCCCGUAACGAGCGCAACCCUUGUCCUUAGUUGCCAGCACGUAAUGGUGGGAACUCUAAGGAGACUGCCGGUGACAAACCGGAGGAAGGUGGGGAUGACGUCAAGUCCUCAUGGCCCUUAUGGGCUGGGCUACACACGUGCUACAAUGGCAAGUACAGACGGUCGCUAACCCGCGAGGGGGAGCCAAUCCGACAAAACUUGUCGUAGUCCGGAUUGGAGUCUGCAACUCGACUCCAUGAAGUCGGAAUCGCUAGUAAUCGCAGAUCAGAAUGCCGCGGUGAAUACGUUCCCGGGCCUUGUACACACCGCCCGUCAC
rnacentral:rRNA from 1 species